UGCCUUAGUAACGGCGAGUGAAGCGGCAAAAGCUCAAAUUUGAAAUCUGGCACCUUCGGUGUCCGAGUUGUAAUUUGAAGAAGGUAACUUUGGAGUUGGCUCUUGUCUAUGUUCCUUGGAACAGGACGUCACAGAGGGUGAGAAUCCCGUGCGAUGAGAUGCCCAAUUCUAUGUAAAGUGCUUUCGAAGAGUCGAGUUGUUUGGGAAUGCAGCUCUAAGUGGGUGGUAAAUUCCAUCUAAAGCUAAAUAUUGGCGAGAGACCGAUAGCGAACAAGUACAGUGAUGGAAAGAUGAAAAGAACUUUGAAAAGAGAGUGAAAAAGUACGUGAAAUUGUUGAAAGGGAAGGGCUUGAGAUCAGACUUGGUAUUUUGCGAUCCUUUCCUUCUUGGUUGGGUUCCUCGCAGCUUACUGGGCCAGCAUCGGUUUGGAUGGUAGGAUAAUGACUAAGGAAUGUGGCUCUACUUCGGUGGAGUGUUAUAGCCUUGGUUGAUACUGCCUGUCUAGACCGAGGACUGCGUCUUUUGACUAGGAUGUUGGCAUAAUGAUCUUAAGCCACCCGUCUUGAAACACGGACC
rnacentral:rRNA from 1 species